rnacentral:rRNA from 1 species
UACGUAGGGGGCUAGCGUUGUCCGGAUUUAUUGGGCGUAAAGAGCGUGUAGGCGGCCAGGUAGGUCUGCUGUGAAAACUCGAGGCUCAACCUCGAGAUGUCGGCGGAAACCAUCUGGCUAGAGUCCGGAAGAGGAGAGUGGAAUUCCUGGUGUAGCGGUGAAAUGCGCAGAUAUCAGGAAGAACACCCGUGGCGAAGGCGGCUCUCUGGGACGUGACUGACGCUGAGACGCGAAAGCGUGGGGAGCGAACAGG